GCACAUGUGGCGGAAUUGGUAGACGCGUUAGCUUGAGGGGUUAAUGUCCAUUUGGACGUGCAGGUUCAACUCCUGUCAUGUGCACAA
rnacentral:tRNA from 1 species